rnacentral:lncRNA from 1 species
AGAAUAUGUUAUCUCCCCUGCAUCUUGGGAACUGUGGAUCCUUCAUCAGUGACCUGGAAUGGUUGCUAAGUGUGAUGCAGAAUGGGUUUCAAACCUAGUGAAGCUUGCACUAUUCAUCAGUUUUGGAAUACACUGAAGAAAGAUAAGAAGUGCAUUUUCUCUCAAACUGAGUCUGAAACUAUUCCUUAUAAUGGUACAGCCUUGGCCAGAAUCUGCCAAAGAAGAAAUGGUCAGUAAUUUCCUAUUUUAUCUGCAAGGUGAAGAGCAGAUUAAGGGACCUGAUGUUCAUUUUAGAAACCCAGAAAUUUAUUUUUAAAAAAUUUCCCAUUUUAUCAAAUGAAAAGUGCUCAACCAACUGGACUUCAAAUUUAAGAUGCCCUCUGACGAAGUACCUCAAAAGCUAAGCUCCCAUCAAUCCUGGAGAGAUAGGAUCGGCAGAGCACAGUGGUGGGAUGAAUGUUUUAAAAGGAACAGCAGCGACCAAAGAACUUUUUUAUGCAGAGAAAUCCCAAAUCUGGGGCAAAGACCUCCUGUUCAUUUUAUCUCACAAAAGUUUGAAGAAGGAGAAAUUUAAACAAUUGCCUGAGACACAGGGAUGGGAACCACUUGCAAGUAUGGAAGAACCCCGUUGGUAGGCCUGGACUGUUAACUGGAUGAGAAGUAAACUUCUAGCUUGUUAAGCAAGGAAACAAACAAGAAAAACAUAAAUAAAGUUGCAAGUACUGUCUGUUCCUUAAGGAAU